AAACAUGCUUGGCUGGGGGACUCAUGUGAUCACGAGGUGUUGGUCCCCAUGGUGAGGCCCUACAAGGCUGACCCAUGUGGCAGCUUCGAAUUGAAGUUGGCCAACAGCUUAAUUUUUGCAUGUGGGGCUGCGCUUGCGUUAUUCAAG